UGGCCUGUUCCUAUUGUGGCGUCAUUAGAGCCCCGCCCGGCCAGGAUCUCUCAGGCGACCGAUGUAUGCAGAGAACCACGUGGAGGAAAGGCGCGCGAGUUUGGAGGGGGUGGAGCACCUGAAUAUGACACGACGGGACAGCUGGAAGGGAGCCCCUAGGUGUUGCGAAGACCCUCACGCUGCGCCGUGUGCAGGUGCUCCUGUCUCAGUGGACGGAUGUGUGGAGAGGAGCUUCUUUCUCUUUCUACUGAGCAAGGAUUCCAUGCCCUAAGUGCUUUAUGUGGCCAUGUUGGAGUUAAGAAGAGAUGCUUGUCCUCACACCUUGAUGAUGACGGCAGCUCCCGCGUACCGCCUCGCUUCCCGAGCCUCCCCUCUGUGCCCCUCUCUAUAGCAGCUGUAAGCUGACGGGGCAUUUCUGAGGACAUCCAGACCCGAGAAGGCAGACUCCGUGCCUUAGUGCCUGUUAGCACGUUCUGGAACCAGCGCCAUGCGGCUUGGCCCACACAUGGGGCA